rnacentral:lncRNA from 1 species
CCUUGAUAAAUUUUUACCCUUCCCUCCGUCUCUAUUGCUUCCGUUCAAUUCAGUUUUCAUUUCAAUCGUUCAGUUCAAUCAUUGACUCAUCAAAAACGUUACAACUGGUGAUCGAACUCGUGAUCCGAUUUUUCUGAGCUUCAAAUCUUCUUUGAUUUUCCUGAAUUUUCCGAAAUGGAAGUUCAAUCAGAUUCAACAGGCAAUUUCAAGCUAUGGAGCGAAUUGGAAUUACAUGAGUUCCCCAACAAAUUCGUGAUCAAAUCCAUUGAAUCGCCAGAUCAAGGAUUCUCCAUUAGCCGCUUCGACGGGAACAUCAAUGACCUCGACGGUCAAUUUUUCUCUCUCUUUUUACCCUGUGAAAAUUUCAAAAUUUGUUUCGAGUUUCAUUUAAUUGCACAAAAACUGAAACAAACAAAAAAUGUAACUACUUAUAUAAUUGAGGCAUCAUUUGCUUAAAUUGUAUAUUUACCUCAAGAGAAUCCUUGUUAGUUUUCUACAUACACUUUAGCACCAGUUCUUCAUGUUGAUUCCAAGAAGAUAAAGUAUGUGUUGAUAAUAAUGAGUAAGCGACAAAAAUAUCUAUAUGUGAAAAAAGGUUGCACGAUUUCUGGUGGUUGAACGAUUCUGAUUAAAAAGUGUCAUACUGACGUCUUCAAUGAUAAGUGGUUAAAAUGCUAAUGCAUAGCCAAAUUUGAAAAGCUGCAGCAGACGGGAGUGGUGAUUCACGACACAGGUGGAACAGUAAUUGCGGCAAGCUUGAAGAGAUUUACCUGGGUCUUUUUCUCCUUAAUAGGGUCGAUUGUAUAGCUCUCUUUAUUUCAUUGUCAGUGUUGAUUUCUAAAUAAUAAUCCUGGCCGACUGGGCUGAGUUUUCAAUUAAGAGGACAGAGGAUAAUUCCUUGUUAUCUUCCACGAGAAAUUAAACAAAAAGCCGCUGAAUUGGCCUAUUUCUUGCAUGUACCAAUUGAAGUCUUUUGAGAAGCUCAUGAGCUUGGUCUGUCUUCAACGUCAAG